rnacentral:rRNA from 1 species
UACGAAGGGGGCUAGCGUUGUUCGGAAUUACUGGGCGUAAAGCGCACGUAGGCGGAAUGUUAAGUCAGGGGUGAAAUCCCGGGGCUCAACCCCGGAACUGCCUUUGAUACUGGCAUUCUCGAGUCCGGAAGAGGUGAGUGGAAUUCCGAGUGUAGAGGUGAAAUUCGUAGAUAUUCGGAGGAACACCAGUGGCGAAGGCGGCUCACUGGCCCGGAACUGACGCUGAGGUGCGAAAGCGUGGGGAGCAAACAGG